rnacentral:lncRNA from 1 species
CUGCUCGUCUGGACCAUGAUUAUGCUGAGCCAUCACAAGAAAUGGCAAGAUCAAGCUAGAGAAGAGAUCUUAGAAGUCAUUGGGAAGACCAACAAACCUAACUUUGAUACACUCUCUCGACUCAAAAUAGUAAAUGCAUUAAUAAGCUAUAACCAUAGGAUUUUUAGGCCAAAAACUCAGACUAACGUUUUCUCGGAACUUUUGUUUCUUUGACAGAUGAGCAUGAUCAUUAACGAGGUGUUGAGGCUAUACCCACCAGGGAAACUACUUGGUCGAACAAUAGAGAAAGAAACAAAGCUUGGUGAGGACAUGACACUUCCAGGUGGUGCACAAGUAGUGAUUCCUGUUCUUAUGAUUCAUCGUGAUCCCGAGCUCUGGGGAGAAGAUGCUCAUGAGUUUAAGCCCGAAAGGUUCUCUGAAGGGAUCUCAAAGGCCACGAAGAACCAAGUCUCGUAUCUUCCGUUUGGAUGGGGACCAAGAUUCUGUCCUGGCCAGAACUUUGCUCUGAUGGAAGCUAAGAUGGCUCUUGUCUUGAUUAUGCAGAGAUUCUCCUUCGAACUGUCACCUUCGUACACUCACGCCCCUCACAUGGUUCUUACACUUCACCCUCAGUUUGGUGCUCCGUUGAUCUUCCACAUGCUCUGAGAUCGAUUCACUAUAUAGUACACAAGAUUUCUAAAAUUCUCUGUUUUUGUUUUACCCUUAAAUAAAGAUUCUAAGAUAUAGUAGCAUAUGUAAUCCUACAGAUGACAAUGAUUAUUUAUGAGGUCCUUAGGCUAUAUCCUCGUAAUCCAGAUAAACCGAGCUAUCCACAAAGAGAUAAAGCUAGGUGAUGUGACAUUACCAUUUACCAGGGGGUGUUCAAGUCGAUAUGCCUGUUCUCCUAAUCCGAGCUUUGGGGCGAUGAUGCAGCAGAGUUCAAGCCGGAGAGAUUCAAAGAAGGGAUCUC